ACUUUUUAAUGUGUUGAUGCUUGAAUAGAGCUAUUCUCAAGCUGGAGUAACUGAAACUGAAUGGACAAGUGGAUCUUCAAAAGGCGGACCUCUGCAGGCAUUAACUAGGGAAUCUACAAGAGGGUCAAGAAGAACUCCAAGGAAAAGGGUGGAAACUUCAGAACAUUUUCGUAUAGAUGGUCCAGUAAUUUCAGAGAGUACUCCCAUAGCUGAAACUAUAAUGGCUUCAAGCAACGAAUCCUUAGUUGUCAAUAGGGUGACUGGAAAUUUCAAGCAUGCAUCUCCUAUUCUGCCAAUCACUGAAUUCUCAGACAUACCCAGAAGAGCACCAAAGAAACCAUUGACAAGAGCUGAAGU